rnacentral:rRNA from 1 species
GAUGAACGCUGACAGAAUGCUUAACACAUGCAAGUCGACUGGAAUUUCUCUUCGGAGAUUAGUACGGUGGCGGACGGGUGAGUAACGCGUAAAGAACUUGCCCUCUAGACUGGGACAACUAUUGGAAACGAUAGCUAAUACCGGAUAUUAUGAGAUCCUCGCAUGGGGAACUUAUGAAAGGCUAUAUGCGCUAGAGGAGAGCUUUGCGUGCCAUUAGGUAGUUGGUAGGGUAAUGGCCUACCAAGCCGACGAUGGCUAGCCGGCCUGAGAGGGUGAACGGCCACAAGGGGGACUGAGACACGGGCCCUUACUCCUACGGGAGGCAGCAGUGGGGAAUAUUGGACAAUGGGCCACAAGCCUGAUCCAGCAAUUCUGUGUGCACGAUGAAGGUCUUAGGAUCGUAAAGUGCUUUCAGUAGGGAAGAAAAAAUGACGGUACCUACAGAAGAAGCGACGGCUAAAUACGUGCCAGCCGCCGCGGUAAU